AACGCACCUUGCGCUCCCUGGUAUUCCGGGGAGCACGCCUGUUCGAGUGUCAUGAAACUCUCAAGCAAGAUAGAUUUAUUUCUAUCUCUGUUUGGAUAUGGACUCUGCCGCGUCAAUGCGGCUGGUCUUAAAUAUAUUAGCUGGUCCUAGUGAAGGUUUGGUUCUACUCAGCAUGAUAAUUAUCUGAUGUUGAGGACAGUCUUAGGACUGGCCAGGCUCUCUCUGGAUUGCUUCUAAUCGUCUUUGGACAAUUAAUCAAUAUCUGACCUCGAAUCAGGUGGGACUACCCGCUGAACUUAA
rnacentral:misc_RNA from 2 species